UACGUAGGAGGCAAGCGUUGUCCGGAAUCACUGGGCGUAAAGCGCGUGUAGGCGGAUCGCUAAGUCUGUUGUGAAAGCGCCUGGCCUAACCGGGCGAGGUCGAUGGAAACUAGCGGUCCGGAGGCCGGUAGAGGGGGGUGGAAUUCCGGGUGUAGUGGUGAAAUGCGUAGAGAUCCGGAGGAACACCAGUGGCGAAGGCGGCCCCCUGGGCCGCGCCUGACGCUGAGACGCGAAAGCGCGGGGAGCGAACGGG
rnacentral:rRNA from 1 species